UGCAAACAGUUUGAGGCUCCUUUCUGAUUUCUAAGGUUAACUAAAGGCAGUUCUUGCCAUCUUGUCACACUUGCAUGCCUUUGUCAAACACAAGCUGCAAACAAGUUCAUGCAGACCCCAGGGCAUUGCUUUUCUGGAUGAGGAACAUAUUUACCUGAUUGUAUCACUGCAAUUCUGGGCUUAAUACACCUGUGUUAGGAGGAAAAUGUUCACAGCAAGAAGAGUCUGACUAUAGAUUCAAGGCAGUUGAAAUGUUGAUCAUAUCCCAAAGCAGAAAAUGAGAUGGAUUCUCCAGCCCACUGCAAAUACCAGCACCAUGCCCAGACUGACCAAACUGCUCCUCCUCAGCACUAAGGUCUGUUAGCUGCUGCCUUUCUACUUGAUCUCAAUUUCUAAAUAAAAUGCAAAACGUUGAAACAAGAAAGGGUCCCAGAAGGGUUCAUUGCUAUUGAGUUUAUGUGGUGGGAAGAACCAUUCUAGCCAGGAACUGUUUAUGACCUCAUGCCACGGCAAAAUCUCCUUCUGUUGGCCACUGCUGGGACGACACAGUGGGUUAGUUAGACCUCUGUUCUCAUCAGUACAACAGACAUUAAACAAAAGCUUUUAUAGGUUAUUGUGCAAAGAGAAGGAAGCAAGAUCCUGCUGAAGGAAGACCGUGGUGAAUGAUUAACCUGAUAAUGUGCCCUCCAGGAAAGUAGAUCUGCGUAGAGGAUGAGAAGAGCUCUGUUACAAAGCAGCUGAUACACCAUGUUUUAGGUGGUGUCAGACGCUGCAUCCCCACUGCCAUAGCAUCUCCC
rnacentral:lncRNA from 1 species